ACUGCUAAUAAUAAUGCUGCUUGUACUAAUGAUACUGCUGCUUUGAUUAUACAAGAUGACGGUCGUAGUGAUGAUAUCAUUUCAACGGUGGUUGGUUAUUUCAAGGCAACAGAAAUAA
rnacentral:sRNA from 1 species